rnacentral:sRNA from 1 species
ACAGAAACAACAACAGCAGGAACAACGCCAACAACAACAGCUUUCAUACCAGGCUCUAGCCAAAAAUGAGGAUUGCAGAUAUAAGCCAUAUCCAUUGAACAUAAAAAACCAGCCAACAACGGUCAAUCAAGCUUUGAAAUCACCCCUCAAGGAUACUAAUGCCUUACCAACGUCAACGCGCAUUAUGAAAAAGGAAAAGUCUCCUACACUAAAACAUGAAAUAGGCGAUAUCUCCGACUUUUUUAACAAUUUACCUCAGAUUCCAACAAAAAUUGGGAAAUCGUUGCAAGGACGUAAUUUAACAUUGCCAGCAUCGAGUUCUAAACUGCUUGAUGUACCAUUAAAGCCUGCGGUUGGGCAGCAAACCGAAAAUGAAUCGAAGCCAACCAAUCGCAAGAAGAGAAAGAAACACUAAGAAAUCCUUUAGUUGAGAAAGAAGAAAGAUGUGGUUACUGUAUGAACUAGUCGACCACAUCUACACAUAGAAUUAAUGGGCAGUGCAUUUUCCGGCAACACAAGCAAGCAGGUUGCAGUUUAUCAACAAAAUUCAAGCAGUGAACAGCUGUGCCAGCUGUUAGAAUUUAAAACGAAAUGGGCCACUUCCCUGGCACAUUACAAAUUGUAUAACACAAAUGAUCGUUUGCGGUGAACAACAAAACAAAGCAUACAAAACACUUCACAUAAAUUGCAUUAAA